rnacentral:misc_RNA from 1 species
GUAGGUGAACCUGCGGUUGGAUCAUUAACAAAUGAUUUGGUUUUUAACCAAAACACUGUGUGCAAUCAUAUCUGUCCCUGGUGGUUUUUCCUGCCCAGUGCUACCGAACAUCAUUUGUGUGGAUGUUCACAGCAGCACGGGUAUAAAUGGCAGGAAUCUUGACCACCAAUUGGCAAAAACACUUUUGUAUUUUUUUUGUCUGAAUCAUUCACUUUAGUGCAAUGAAAAACAACUUUUGACAACGGAUCUCUUGGCUCUC